UACGUAGGUGGCAAGCGUUGUCCGGAAUUACUGGGCGUAAAGCGUGCGCAGGCGGUGAUGUAAGACAGAUGUGAAAUCCCCGGGCUCAACCUGGGAACUGCAUUUGUGACUGCAUCGCUGGAGUGCGGCAGAGGGGGAUGGAAUUCCGCGUGUAGCAGUGAAAUGCGUAGAUAUGCGGAGGAACACCGAUGGCGAAGGCAAUCCCCUGGGCCUGCACUGACGCUCAUGCACGAAAGCGUGGGGAGCAAACAGG
rnacentral:rRNA from 1 species